AGUCCACGCUGUAAACGAUGAGUGCUGAAUGUGGGGAUUUUAUCUUUGUAUUGUAGCUAACGCGUUAAGCACUCCGCCUGGGGACUACGGUCGCAAGACUAAAACUCAAAGGAA
rnacentral:rRNA from 3 species